rnacentral:lncRNA from 1 species
UCUACAAUCAUUAAAGUUGGGCUGGCAUAGAAAGGAAUGCAAUAUAUGCCCUGCUGAAGACUAUAAAGGACUAUGUCAAUGUGUUACUGGGUCAAUGCAUCUGAACGCAAGUUCACUGCUUCAGGUGCAAUGCCUACAGGAUUUGACCCCAGAGAAAAGGGACUCCAUACUCUUUACUACAGACGUUUCUAGAAGGCACAGGCUAAUUUCAAGUUCGACGUGUCAAGGCACGGAAGAAUCAUUGACACAGCAGGUGCACUUAAAUAUAACUAUCUAAUUAUACACUGACGCAAGUUUGCUCCCAAGAAACUAAAUGUACAUUGCCAUGGAAAACAUGUAUCUGCCUGUCAUGCUUUUGAAUAGCAUAUGGCCAAGGAGGAGAAGAGGAGAACAACCUAGUCAUCUUUAAAAGGCCAGUGUUGUGCAAGGCAGAAUCCUUCUGAAGACCAAAGGCAAAUUUAGGGAGUGCUGUUUCUCUGGAAGAGAGCAGUGCAGUGCUCUUCACAGCCUGCUGAUUCUGGCCAUGACCCUCAGAAGGCCUAAUCACCUCCUUACCUGAAACCUCGCGGUGUUUGCAGCACCUGCGGCUCUCCAGCAAGGGAACAUGAAUGUUACAUUCAGGAAGGAUUUUGAGAAUAUAUUAACAGGUAUAACGUAUCUUCCUAUUGGGCUUCCGUUCUUUCUUUAUGAUUUAGUUUGGUCCACAAUAGCAUGGGAAACACCAUGUGAAAAGGCUUUAUAUGCAAGCACUAUCUAGUCCUGAAGGGUUGUGCUUGUUCAUAGUUGGGGUUUGGCAUUUUGAUUGGUGCUUUUUAUUUUAUGUUUGAAAUAGGAAAUGAAAGAAACUAUGAAUAUGAAUAGUUUGCUGGCAGCAGAAACAGGUUGCACAGAGUCUCCAGAUAUGGAAAGCUUAUCUCCUGGAAUUUUAAAAACUGAACUUCAGACCAAAGCAGUUCAAAGGAGUUUCAGUUCCUUAAGGACUGUGCUGUUCCUGAUCCUUAAAUUAAAAUGCAGAAAGGGUAAUGGUGAGCUGAAGAGAAAGCAUAAUAACAAUUGCCAUAUCUAUAUUUGA